GCUGGCAGCUAGUUCUCUGCUACUCUCACACAGUUGCCCACUGAAGCUAAGCAGGGCCGUGCCUGGCCAGUAUCUGGAUGGGAGACCACAUGGGAAAGCUAGGUUGCUGCUGGAA
ensembl:rRNA 5S_rRNA 5S ribosomal RNA